rnacentral:rRNA from 1 species
GAGUUUGAUCGUGGCUCAGGAUGAACGCUGGCGGCGUGCUUAACACAUGCAAGUCGAACGGAGAUUAUACGCAGAGGCGAUUUCGGUCAAAUCAUGUAAAAUCUUAGUGGCGGACGGGUGAGUAACGCGUGGGGUAACCUGCCUUACACUGGGGGAUAACACUUAGAAAUAGGUGCUAAUACCGCAUAAGCGCACGAAGCCGCAUGGAUUUGUGUGAAAAACUCCGGUGGUGUAAGAUGGACCCGCGUCUGAUUAGCUUGUUGGCGGGGUAACGGCCCACCAAGGCGACGAUCAGUAGCCGGCCUGAGAGGGUGGACGGCCACAUUGGGACUGAGACACGGCCCAAACUCCUACGGGAGGCAGCAGUGGGGGAUAUUGGACAAUGGGGGACCCUGAUCCAGCGACGCCGCGUGAGUG